UAAAGAUUUUAAGGGCGUACGGUGGAUGCCUUGGCGAUAUCAGCCGAAGAAGGACGCGGUAAGCUGCGAUAAGCUACGGAGAGGUGCAAGCAACCUGUGACCCGUAGAUAUCCGAAUGGGGGAACCCGGCAGUGGUUAUGCACUGUCACCCAUAGCAUAGACUAUGAGGAGGGCACCCGGGGAACUGAAACAUCUAAUUACCCGGAGGAACAGUAAUCAAACGAGAUUUUCUUAGUAGCGGCGAGCGAACGGGAAAGAGGCCAAACCGGAGCGGGCAACCGCACCGGGGUUGAGGACAGUCAUCAAGUGUAAAUGAGGUAGAAGAAUCGAGCUGGAAAGCUCAGCCGCAGAAGGUGAAAGCCCUGUAAUCGAAACCUUGCAUACACGGGACUGUAUCCAGAGUACCACGAGACACGUGAAACCUUGUGGGAAGCAGGGGGGACCACCCUCCAAGCCAAAAUACUGAUAUCGACCGAUAGCGCAUAGUACCGUGAGGGAAAGGUGAAAAGAACCCCUGGCGGGGAGUGAAAGAGAACCUGAAACCGUAUGUCUACAAACAGUCGAAGUCUGUAUAUAUAUCAGGACGACGGCGUGCCUAUUGAAGAAUGAACCGACGAGUUACUGUUGCUAGCGAGGUUAAGUGGAACACAUGGAGCCGCAGCGAAAGCGAGUCUGAACAGGGCGUUCAGUUAGUAAUAGUAGACCCGAAACCGUAGUGAUCUAUCCAUGGCCAGGUUGAAGCACAGGUAAAAUUGUGUGGAGGACCGAACUCGUGAGCGUUGAAAAGCUUUGGGAUGAGUUGUGGAUAGGGGUGAAAUGCCAAUCGAACACGGAGAUAGCUGGUUCUCCCCGAAAUAGCUUUAGGGCUAGCCUCGAGGUAGAGAGUAUAGGCGGUAGAGCACUGAUCGGGCUAGGGGCCAUACCGGUUACCGAACCUAGUCAAACUACGAAUGGCUAUACUUAUACUCGGGAGUCAGACAGUGAAUGAUAAGGUCCAUUGUCAAGAGGGAAACAGCCCAGAACACCGACUAAGGUCCCCAAUGUUACACUAAGUGGCGAAGGAUGUGGAAUUUCCAAAACAACCAGGAUGUUGGCUUAGAAGCAGCCACCAUUUAAAGAGUGCGUAAUAGCUCACUGGUCGAGAGACUCUGCGCCGAAAAUGUCCGGGGCUAAAGUGUAAAACCGAAGUCGUGUCAUAUGCAGCAAUGUAUAUGGGUAGGGGAGCGUUCUCAUCGGGCUGAAGCAGUACCGUAAGGAGUUGUGGACUGAUGAGAAGUGAGAAUGUCGGUAUGAGUAGCGAAAAGAAUGGUGAGAAUCCAUUCCACCGAAAGCCUAAGGGUUCCUGAGCAACGAUCGUCGUCUCAGGGUAAGUCGGGACCUAAGCCGAGGCGGAAAAGCGUAGGCGAUGGACAACAGGUUGAAAUUCCUGUACCGGUGUGAAUCGUUUGAUCGAUGGAGUGACACAGUAAGGUAGGUCAGCACGCGAUUGGAAGAGCGUGUUUAAGCAGGUAGGUUGAGUGAUAGGCAAAUCCGUCACUCUAAAAGCUGAGAUGUGAUGACGAGUGACUAGCAAUAGUCGCGAAGUGAUUGAUCCUACACUGUCGAGAAAAGCUUCUAGGUAGAGACACAUCGCCCGUACCAAAACCGACACAGGUAGGCGGGGAGAGAAUCCUAAGGUGCGCGGGAAAACCCUCGUUAAGGAACUCGGCAAAAUGCCUCCGUAACUUCGGGAAAAGGAGGACUCAUGUAGUGUGAAGUGCAGCAACGCAUGGAGCAUGAAUGAGUGGCACAAGAGAGGCGCAAGCGACUGUUUACCACAAACACAGGUGCCUGCUAAAGCGAAAGCUGAUGUAUAGGUGCUGACACCUGCCCGGUGCUGGAAGGUUAAGAGGAGGGGUUAGACUUCGGUCGAAGCUCUGAAUUGAAGCCCCAGUAAACGGCGGCCGUAACUAUAACGGUCCUAAGGUAGCGAAAUUCCUUGUCGGGUAAGUUC
rnacentral:rRNA from 1 species